rnacentral:rRNA from 1 species
AGUGAACGCUGUCGGUAGGCCUAACACAUGCAAGUCGAACGGCAGCACAGUAAGAGCUUGCUCUUACGGGUGGCGAGUGGCGGACGGGUGAGGAAUACAUCGGAAUCUACUUUUUCGUGGGGGAUAACGUAGGGAAACUUACGCUAAUACCGCAUACGACCUACGGGUGAAAGCAGGGGAUCUUCGGACCUUGCGCGAUUGAAUGAGCCGAUGUCGGAUUAGCUAGUUGGCGGGGUAAAGGCCCACCAAGGCGACGAUCCGUAGCUGGUCUGAGAGGAUGAUCAGCCACACUGGAACUGAGACACGGUCCAGACUCCUAAGGGAGGCAGCAGUGGGGAAUAUUGGACAAUGGGCGCAAGCCUGAUCCAGACAUACCGCGUGGGUGAAGAAGGCCUUCGGGUUGUAAAGCCCUUUUGUUGGGAAAGAAAAGCAGCAGGUUAAUACCCCGCUGUUCUGACGGUACCCAAAGAAUAAGCACCGGCUAACUUCGUG